CUAUGAAUCUUCCCUUCUGAUAUACUCUUUCCUUCAUCAAGCCCUGUCCUCUGAACACACACCAUAGGUGAAGUAUCUGAGUUAAGGCUCCAGUAAGUCAGCAAAAUACAUGGCUAACAAUGUGCUUAUGCUACACAGUUAGAGCAGUGUGAUACUGAAUUCUGUAGAAUUCUAGAUGUUUGACUUCAUAAGGUUACUUAGUAUUCUUGGAACACUAGCAUAUUCAAAGCUCUCAUCCUCUGAAGCUUUGUCUCUAGUAGAAUGUUCUUCAAUAAACUGCCAACUCCAGGUUUCUACAGGACCAUAAAAAUUCAAAUGGAUGGGGAAAGAAUCUAGCAGAAUAUCCCAUGUGUCCUUCAACAGAACUCUUCUUGAUUAUUCCCAUUGUAGCAAAGAUGGUGGCUCUUCAGCGGUGAGUUUUGUGGCUCUUGUAAAAGAUAUUUAACUCGGAGUGUAACAAUGAACUCCUAGGCCCAGCGUGAUUGGGCCCUGGGCAGCAGGAUGAAAUCUCGAAGGCAUCACAGAGCAUGUUAUGCUGCCGUCAAGACAUUCCUUGGAUCUUUUGAAGCAUCAACAACGAUGAUUAGCAAGAUUACUAGACCCCCUACUUGAGCCACUAAAAGACAUAGGGGUGGUUGUGUACUUUCUAACAGAGGGAUCACCUUUCAUAAUUAUAAUCCAGAUAAUCUCUUGCUGAAAUGUAUGCAAGGCUCUGCUGGAAGAAGAAAUUUCUGAGAAAAUGUAUUUAGUUGAAUUCUGCCUAAUCCAUUAAAACGUACAAUGCAAUUCA